rnacentral:lncRNA from 12 species
ACCUGUUUUCUGAAUUUCUUGGUGGUUGAAGUUCAAAAAUUUACCAUUGUCUCAUGUAUAUAUGAAUGAUGUAACUUUUUUAUAGAUGGACCAACAUUCUUUAGAUUUUUCUCAGUGGAAUUCUCUUAAGAAUUGAGGAUGAUUUGGUUAUUGCCAGAAACCAACCUUAUUUCCUGACACCAUCUCAACAAAUUAGUCAAUAAGCUGGAUGAUAUAGGUAUUAUCAAAAUAGAAUAUGAAUGUCAGGUUAAUCUGCAGUUUGGAAUGCAUACAUCAUCGUACAUACCUUUUUUAGAGGACAUAAUUUUCUGAAGGAAUGUGAAGAUUACCAUAUGAAAUUUUAUGUAGAUUCAGCAUAAUUUAUGCAUUUUACUUCUGAAGGGAAAUUAAGAUAUUAUCCAUCUCAGAGCAAAGUCAGUGUAUAGUUUUGCUAGAAGCAUUCUACAAAAGCUUAAGUUCCUGAGCUGUGACACAAGACCACUGUGUGCUCAGCGUCCAUCUAGGCCUGUGUCUCAACUGCCUUGAAGGUACUUGGAGAACAAAAACAACCAAAGACAGCAUGAAGCUCAUGUUUUCUGCUGUCCUAUGAAUAAUAAAGUCAUUUUUAUCUGACCCA